AGUGAACGCUGGCGGUAGGCCUAACACAUGCAAGUCGAACGGCAGCACAGUAAGAGCUUGCUCUUACGGGUGGCGAGUGGCGGACGGGUGAGGGAUACAUCGGAAUCUACUUUUUCGUGGGGGAUAACGUAGGGAAACUUACGCUAAUACCGCAUACGACCUACGGGUGAAAGCAGGGGAUCUUCGGACCUUGCGCGAUUGAAUGAGCCGAUGUCGGAUUAGCUAGUUGGCGGGGUAAAGGCCCACCAAGGCGACGAUCCGUAGCUGGUCUGAGAGGAUGAUCAGCCACACUGGAACUGAGACACGGUCCAGACUCCUACGGGAGGCAGCAGUGGGGAAUAUUGGACAAUGGGCGCAAGCCUGAUCCAGCCAUACCGCGUGGGUGAAGAAGGCCUUCGGGUUGUAAAGCCCUUUUGUUGGGAAAGAAAAGCAGCAGGUUAAUACCCCGCUGUUCUGACGGUACCCAAAGAAUAAGCACCGGUUAACUUCGUG
rnacentral:rRNA from 1 species